rnacentral:rRNA from 1 species
ACUAGGGAUCGGACAAGCACUUCUAAUGACUUGUUCGGCACCUGAAGAGAAAUCUUUAAGUCUAGGUUCGGGGGGGAGUAUGGUCGCAAGGCUGAAACUUAAAGGAAUUGACGGAAGGGCACCACCAGGUGUGGAGCCUGCGGCUUAAUUUGACUCAACACGGGGAAACUCACCAGGUCCAGACACAAUAAGGAUUGACAGAUUGAUAGCUCUUUCUUGAUCUUGUGG